GACAGAGGUGGCGAGCGUUGUUCGGAAUUACUGGGCUUAAAGGGCGAGUAGGCGGUGGAGCAAGUCCGAGGUGGAAUCCUAUGGCUUAACCAUAGAACUGCCUUGGAUACUGUUUUACUUGAGUCAGUGAGGGGAGGGCGGAAUUCCCGGUGUAGCGGUGAAAUGCGUAGAUAUCGGGAGGAAGGCCAGUGGCGAAGGCGGCCCUCUGGUGCUGAACUGACGCUGAGGCGCGAAAGCGUGGGGAGCAAACAGG
rnacentral:rRNA from 1 species